GGGGGGGGGGGGGGGGGGGGCUAGGAUGAAAUUUGAAAAAAAAUUAGGCAGGACAGGAGUUUUGAGUAAAAAAAAAAAGGCAGGAUGAGACACUUUGCAAAAAAAAAAAAAGGCAGGAUGACAAUUUAGGUAAAAUAAGUCAGGAUAAACUAAUAAAAAAAAGGCAGGACCGAAGAGUCAAAAAUAAAAAGGCAGGACAGAGAUUACAACUAAAAAAAAUGCAGGACAAAAUGUUUCAUCCUAUCCCCCCCCCCCAUAAAAAUCAAAUGGUAGCUCCCUUUACUAGGGUUUAUAAUCUUCAACCACUGAAAAUGUUUAGUCUGCCCUUCCACGAAAUAUUUAAUUAGAAUUUUUUUUAAAUGCUUAAGAAUUUUCAAAAAUUCCAUCUGACAUCCAAACAGACAAUAUUUUUAAGUUGAAUCAAUGCAGACAAAUCAUUAACUAAUGCUCAUUAGCUAGUAGAUACAUUUGUAUUUUAAAAUAUAACUGACAUAUAACGAUCGAUCGUAAUGGUGCUAUGUGGAUAAAUUUAUCAGUUUUCAAGAGCAAAAUUGGCAGAGCGUCAUCCCUACAAUGGCUUCCAUUUCUACGACUGUGAGCAUGAACUGGCGUAAUGGGGAGGUAAUUUUGAAGAAGUAGAAUCCUGACUGUAUGAAUAACAUUUCUGUAUAUAUACAAAUUGACAACGUUCCGCCUUGUGAUACGCUUUUCGUACAAUACUAUUUUAAGGAUCUACUUUGCUGGAGCUCACCUUCACUAGUUUAUUCGAAUGAUAUUUUCAAAAUAUUUCUGUUAUUUUAUUUGCACGACAAAAUGAAAGACGAUAUACUAUCAAUGGGUGUACAUGCAAUUUUUUGGCAUUUUUAAAAAUGUGUAUUUAUUAUAUGUCAUUAAAAGGAAUCCCAGAAACCAAAAAAAAAUCUUUUGUCGAGCAGUUGAAGGCUGUGCACCGCAUUUUUUUCAUUAUGCUUGUAAGGUGUCAUUUUAUCGCGCUUUUGUAGCAUGUUUUCCAUUCCUGUUCAUUUGCAUGUCUUUUGGCAAAUUCAUUUUAAAAAUUAAACCCUCUACUGUAAAAAAGAUACAUAUGGUAAUCUUUGCAUUUGAAGCACGUCUUAUUUUCUUCUACCUAUAGGAUAAAACUUUCAUAUUAAAUUCUCCCUCGCCCUGCUCGUCCGAAUUUAAAGCAUUUAAUUUCUAAUUCAAUAGGCUAUAAACAAGACAAACACAGAAAUAGGAUUAGUUGCUCGCAGUAACAUCUUAUUUUUUCUUGCGAUACAAUAUUUUAUUUUACUGAAUUGUACAUAUUUCUUCAAUCGAAACAUUAUAUAAACACAUGAAAUAUAACAUUGUUCCUCUUUCGCAUCGUUUCUUUUCCCCCGGCUAAUGCCUCCAACGCCUGUACGUACAAUAAACAUAGCAGCAACUGCACAUAUACCUAUGUGACCAACUUCAAUCCGACGUAACUGCGAGCACCUUCGAUACUAAUACAUUUAAAUCCCAAACUUUAUAUAGUACCUUUAAACCCCACCAAUAAAAA
rnacentral:lncRNA from 1 species